UGCCCCCCCAGAGACCUCUUGAGGCCCAGGCAGCAUCUCCGGUCCAUCCAGCUGCAUGAGGAGACGUAAGAACUGACCGUCUAGUGAGACCACUGAGUCGCAGCCACUGCAGUGGCAACCUCCCCAUGGACCAAGAGAUCCUCCAAACACCUCUUCCAUGGGCCCAAAGUGAGACCGACUUCCAUCUUCUCAUCUCCAAAAGAUCAUUAUUAUAUGGGGCAGGAAAAAGAGGGAUAUUUGAGACCAGGUCAUGACAGCUUUCGCCUGUCUCCAACUUUAUCUGCUAGCGUGUCUAUACCUCUCCAAAUUCCAGAAGACCUUUCCUUCCUCAGUCUGAGAGAGUCUCCAUUCUGAAGGGAAACAUCCUUACCUUUGUGGGUAAGACUGAAGUCUGAAGCAACUUAGAAAAGGUCAUACCCAUGAAAACAAGCCCAAAUUACUCUGGUCUCAGCUGAGUUCUUCAAAAAGCUAGAUGGAUAGAGCACUAGGCCCGGAGGUAAAAAGACCUGAGUUCAAAUCCAGCCUCAGACACUGAACAGCUGUGCAUCCCUGGAAAUACACUCAUCAACAGAGAAAGGCCCAUCCAGAGGAAGAGAAGGACUGAGAAGGAUACUGAGAUUGGCAGAGGAGGGAGACAGAGAUACGUAUGCUCCAUCCUCUUCACUCCCAACUCCCCCCAACCCUGCACAGGCCAGCCAGGUUCUGCCCAUGAAGAGUCCACCUCCCGGCUGAACUCACCUGCCCUUGCUGCUAUUUCUGAACUCGGGAAGCUAAAAAUAGAAGAGCUGCAUGGUGGAAAUCUCAGAGAAACUGAGGCCUGAAACUUCAUGUUACACUACAUUCUAGGAGGUCCACAGGAGCCACACUGCUCCACCCAGGACGGCAGCAUGGAAGAAGGUCACUAUUGGCUGGGCAGGAGUCAAUAAUCAUGCCAUUUGCGCUCUUCACAAGCUGGCUUCAUCCUACCUUUUCAGCUUUGUUAUCCGUGGUCCAGCCUCCUUGACCAAGCUGCCUGCUCUCACAUGGCUGAGAGGCUCCCCCUCUCACCUUGGCCUCUGUGAAUCCUGGUCUCCAAGACUCGGUCCGAGUGUCACCUUCUGAAUAAGCCUUUCCUGGGUCCCCCACUUAUAACUUUCUCCCACCACCUCCAAGUUACUUGGUUGAACAUAUUUUGAACACCUCUACAUGUUGUCAGACAUACUGUCAGCUUCUUGAAGUCACAGAUUGUUUUCAGUUUGUCUUUGUGGCA